UCUGCACUGCAGGAAUCAGCUCUGCACUGCAAGGUUCAGCCCUGCACCGGCGAGGUUCUUAUCAUUUGGUAUCAUCAUCCAGGUUUCGUAAGGGUCGAUCUUGCUACAGUUUUGUUAUCCAUAUAUUUACCGUUUUCCAUAAUCCAUACUCAUCAUCCGCUACAUCAUCUAUACUACAUCAUUCAUCGCCAUCCUACAUACUUCCAUAUGUUUAUAUUACCAUAGUAAAAAAAAAACAAGAAAAAGAUAUACACAUAAACACAAAAACAAAAACGCAAACAGCAAUCACCAUACUUCAUAACAUUUUCG
rnacentral:lncRNA from 1 species